ACUUCAAAAUGAAGGACUUGACUAUUUUUAAAUUUUACUAACUUACGACAUUUUUAAUAUGGAAUGAGCUUAAGGAUCUUUUGCCAUCGUCUUGCAUUGUGACAAACUUGGUGAGUAUUCUGCUAAUUUUCUAAUAUCUUCCAUAAAAAUAUUGCAGUAACUUGAAUGGAACAAGUGGUUUGUGCUUGCCUCUCGUUUAAUCCUAAAGGUCACUAGUUUGUUUAUAUAUUAGUUUGUAACAUGAUUAUAGUAGAAAGCGUCACGAAGUCAGCGAAAAAUUAAGAAUUGAGGAACAAAUCUAACUAUGUAUGAAGUGAGGAAACCCUUAGAAACCGAACAUACUUGCAAUGGGCUCUGAAGGCAAAAACUCUGCAACCCUGGAGUAUCAAAAAUGUAUUUGGUAUUCAGAAAAACUCUGCUUCAAUUUGUUCUCAUUAGCUUCGGUUAUAUGUUGCUUAAAUCUACAACAAUGAUCAGGCCCCACAUUUCAAUGAUUUUUCGCGAGAGAAUAACUCUAAUGAAUUUAUGAGUCGCAUAUUGACUAUAUAAAGCCAGUGAAACAAAUGGCUUAUAAUGCAAAAAAAUACGGCUAUGAGCCUUCUAAAUUAAUAUCUCCAUAAAGUAAAUAUCUUAGAUAAUAAACUGUGGAUUUCUUUGCAACAAUUUCUAUGCUCUAUAAUGUACU